rnacentral:rRNA from 1 species
UGCAGUCGAGUGGAUGAUGAAGAAGCUUGCUUCUUCUGAUUUUANNNNNNNNNNNGUGAGUAACACGUGGGCAACCUACCUUGUAGAUUGNNNUAACUCCGGGAAACCGGGGCUAAUACCGAAUAAUCCAUUUUGCUUCAUGGCGAAAUGUUAAAAGGCGGCUUCGGCUGUCACUGCAAGAUGGGCCCGCGGCGCAUUAGCUAGUUGGUAAGGUAACGGCUUACCAAGGCGACGAUGCGUAGCCGACCUGAGAGGGUGAUCGGCCACACUGGGACUGAGACACGGCCCAGACUCCUACGGGAGGCAGCAGUAGGGAAUCUUCCACAAUGGACGAAAGUCUGAUGGAGCAACGCCGCGUGAGUGAAGAAGGUUUUCGGAUCGUAAAACUCUGUUGUAAGGGAAGAACACGUACGAGAGUAACUGCUCGUACCUUGACGGUACCUUAUUAGAAAGCCACGGCUAACUACGUGCCAGCAGCCGCGNUAAUACGUAGGUGGCAAGCGUUGUCCGGAAUUAUUNNNCGUAAAGCGCGCGCAGGCGGUCCUUUAAGUCUGAUGNGAAAGCCCACGGCUCANNCGUGNNNGGUCAUUNNNACUGGGGGNCUUGAGUACAGANGAGGAAAGCGNNAUUCC